rnacentral:rRNA from 1 species
CCUGAACGCUGGCGGCGUGGCUAAGACAUGCAAGUCGAACGGGUGUAGCAAUACACCAGUGGCGGACGGGUGAGUAAUGUAUCGCUAACGUACCCUCGAGCCAGGGAUAGCUGCCCGAAAGGGCAGGUAAUACCUGAUGAAAUAACCUUAUCGCAUGGUGAGGUUCUCAAAGCAGCAAUGCACUCCUGGAGCGGGCGAUAUCGUAUCAGCUAGUUGGUGAGGUAACGGCUCACCAAGGCGACGACGCGUAGCCGGACUGAGAGGUUGGCCGGCCACA